GAAACGACUGCUAAUACCGCAUAAUGCACCGAGAUCGCAUGGUCUUGAUGCCAAAGAUUUAUCGCUGUGAGAUGGCCUCGCGUCUGAUUAGCUAGUUGGUGAGGUAACGGCCCACCAAGGCGACGAUCAGUAGCCGGACUGAGAGGUUGAUCGGCCACAUUGGGACUGAGACACGGCCCAGACUCCUACGGGAGGCAGCAGUGGGGAAUAUUGGGCAAUGGGCGCAAGCCUGACCCAGCAACGCCGCGUGAAGGAAGAAGGCUCUCGGGUUGUAAACUUCUUUUAUUAGGGACGAUAAUGACGGUACCUAUUGAAUAAGCUCCGGCUAACUACGUGCCAGCAGCCGCGGUAAUACGUAGGGAGCAAGCGUUAUCCGGAUUUACUGGGUGUAAAGGGCGUGUAGGCGGGACUGCAAGUCAGAUGUGAAAACUAUGGGCUCAACUCAUAGCCUGCAUUUGAAACUGUAGUUCUUGAGUGCUGGAGAGGCAAAUGGAACUCCUAGUGUAGCGGUGAAAUGCGUAGAUAUUAGGAAGAACACCAGUGGCGAAGGCGAUUUGCUGGACAGUAACUGACGCUGAGGCGCGAAAGUGUGGGGAGCAAACAGGAUUAGAUACCC
rnacentral:rRNA from 1 species